GACGAACGCUGGCGGCGUGCCUAACACAUGCAAGUCGAACGAAGCACUGCGGAAAGAGACUUCGGUCAAUGGAAGCUUUGACUUAGUGGCGGACGGGUGAGUAACGCGUGAGGAACCUGCCUUUCAGUGGGGGACAACAGUUGGAAACGACUGCUAAUACCGCAUAAAGUGUUUUGGGGGCAUCCCCGGAACACCAAAGAUUUAUUGCUGAAAGAUGGCCUCGCGUCUGAUUAGAUAGUUGGUGGGGUAACGGCCUACCAAGUCGACGAUCAGUAGCCGGACUGAGAGGUUGAACGGCCACAUUGGGACUGAGAUACGGCCCAGACUCCUACGGGAGGCAGCAGUGGGGAAUAUUGGGCAAUGGGGGAAACCCUGACCCAGCAAUGCCGCGUGAGGGAAGAAGGCUUUCGGGUGUAAACUUCUUUACCUAGGGACGAAGAGAGUGACGGUACCUGGAGAAAAAGCCACGGCUAACUACGUG
rnacentral:rRNA from 1 species